rnacentral:rRNA from 1 species
GACGAACGCUGGCGGCGCGCUUAACACAUGCAAGUCGAACGGAAAGGCCUGCUUUCCCUUGUGGAUUGCGGGUACUCGAGUGGCGAACGGGUGAGUAACACGUGAGUGAUCUGCCCCCAACUUGGGUAUAAGCCUGGGAAACUGGGUCUAAUUCCCGAUAGGACUGCAGGGUGGUGCCUGCGGUGGAAAACGAUUUUCUAGUGGUUGGGGAUGAGCUCGCGGCCUAUCAGCUUGUUGGUGGGGUAAUGGCCUACCAAGGCGGCGACGGGUAGCCGGCCUGAGAGGGUGGACGGCCACAUUGGGACUGAGAUACGGCCCAGACUCCUACGGGAGGCAGCAGUGGGGAAGAUUGCACAAUGGGCGGAAGCCUGAUGCAGCGACGCCGCGUGGGGGAUGACGGCCUUCGGGUUGUAAACUCCUUUCGACCGCGAGGAAGCCACCUGGUUGGAAGGGUGGUGACGGUAGUGGUAGAAGAAGCACCGGCUAACUACGUG